rnacentral:rRNA from 1 species
GACGAACCGUGCGAACGUUGUUCGGAAUCACUGGGCUUAAAGGGCGCGUAGGCGGUCUGCCAAGUCAGGGGUGAAAGCCUCCAGCUUAACUGGAGAAGUGCCUUUGAUACUGGCGGACUCGAGUGAGGUAGGGGUGAUGGGAACUUCCGGUGGAGCGGUGAAAUGCGUUGAUAUCGGAAGGAACGCCGGUGGCGAAAGCGCAUCACUGGACCUCUUCUGACGCUGAGGCGCGAAAGCCAGGGGAGCAAACGGG